rnacentral:rRNA from 1 species
UGGGGAAUCUUCCGCAAUGGACGAAAGUCUGACGGAGCAACGCCGCGUGAGUGAUGACGGCCUUCGGGUUGUAAAGCUCUGUUAAUCGGGACGAAUGGUUCUUGUGCGAAUAGUGCGAGGAUUUGACGGUACCGGAAUAGAAAGCCACGGCUAACUACGUGCCAGCAGCCGCGGUAAUACGUAGGUGGCAAGCGUUGUCCGGAAUUAUUGGGCGUAAAGCGCGCGCAGGCGGAUCAGUCAGUCUGUCUUAAAAGUUCGGGGCUUAACCCCGUGAUGGGAUGGAAACUGCUGAUCUAGAGUAUCGGAGAGGAAAGUGGAAUUCCUAGUGUAGCGGUGAAAUGCGUAGAUAUUAGGAAGAACACCAGUGGCGAAGGCGACUUUCUGGACGAAAACUGACGCUGAGGCUCGAAAGCGUGGGGAGCGAACAGGAUUAGAUACCCUGGUAGUCCACGCCGUAAACGAUGAGUGCUAGGUGUUGGAUCCUUUCCGGGAUUCAGUGCCGCAGCUAACGCAUUAAGCACUCCGCCUGGGGAGUACGACCGCAAGGUUG